rnacentral:rRNA from 1 species
UGAAUACGAGAUGCUACGGCGUCGAAGCAGUGUAUGUCAGACUUCCAAGAAAAGCUCGCAAUGUCAUAAAUAAAGAAUGCCUGUACCAUAACCGACACAGGUGGGUAGGUAGAGUAUACUAAGGGGCGCGAGAUAACUCUCUCUAAGGAACUCGGCAAAAUAACUCCGUAACUUCGGGAGAAGGAGUGCCUUCUUUAAGAAGGUUGCAAUAACAAGAUCCAAGCAACUGUUUAUCAAAAACACAGGUCUCCGCUAAGUCGUAAGACGAUGUAUGGGGGCUGACGCCUGCCCAGUGCCAGAAGGUUAAAGAAGCUGGUUAGCAAUAGCGAAGCUGGUGACUGAAGCCCUGGUGAACGGCGGCCGUAACAAUAACGGUCCUAAGGUAGCGAAAUUCCUUGUCGGGUAAGUUCCGACCCGCACGAAAGGCGUAAUGAUUUGGAUACUGUCUCGGAGAGGGACUCGGUGAAAUAGACUUGUCUGUGAAGAUGCGGGCUACCUGCACCAGGACAGAAAGACCCUAUGAAGCUUUACUGUAACCUGAAAUUGAAAUUGGACUUUAUUUGCGCAGUAUAGGUGGGAGGCGUUGAAAGUAAUCUUGCGGGAUUAGUGGAGCCAUCAGUGAGAUACCACUCCUAUAAUGUUAGAUUUCUAACUUUGGAUCAUGAUCUGGUCAAAGAACAGUUUCAGGCGGGCAGUUUGACUGGGGCGGUCGCCUCCCAAAUGGUAACGGAGGCGUACAAAGGUUUCCUCUGAACGGGUAGAAAUCGUAUCUAGAGUGUAAAGGCAUAAGGAAGCUUGACUGUGAGACCUACAAGUCGAGCAGGGACGAAAGUCGGUCUUAGUGAUCUGACGGUGCUGAGUGGAAAGGCCGUCACUCAACGGAUAAAAGUUACUCUAGGAUAACAGGCUGAUCUCCCCCAAGAGUUCACAUCGACGGGGAGGUUUGGCACCUCGAUGUCGGCUCAUCGCAUCCUGGGGCGGUAGUACGUCCCAAGGGUUGGGCUGUUCGCCCAUGAAAGCGGUACGCGAGCUGGGUUCAGAACGUCGUGAGACAGUUCGGUCCAUAUCCGGUGUAGGCGUUAGAAUAUUGAGAGGAGCCUUCUCUAGUACGAGAGGACCGAGAAGGACAUACCUCUGGUGUACCAGUUAUCGUGCCAACGGUAAACGCUGGGUAGCUAUGUAUGGAGAGGAUAACCGCUGAAAGCAUCUAAGUGGGAAGCCCACCUCAAGAUGAGUAUUCUCAC